CUUGAUGUGUAGGAUAGGUGGGAGGCUUUGAAGUGUGGACGCCAGUCUGCAUGGAGCCGACCUUGAAAUACCACCCUUUAAUGUUUGAUGUUCUAACGUGGACCCGUAAUCCGGGUUGCGGACAGUGUCUGGUGGGUAGUUUGACUGGGGCGGUCUCCUCCUAAAGAGUAACGGAGGAGCACGAAGGUUGGCUAAUCCUGGUCGGACAUCAGGAGGUUAGUGCAAUGGCAUAAGCCAGCUUGACUGCGAGCGUGACGGCGCGAGCAGGUGCGAAAGCAGGUCAUAGUGAUCCGGUGGUUCUGAAUGGAAGGGCCAUCGCUCAACGGAUAAAAGGUACUCCGGGGAUAACAGGCUGAUACCGCCCAAGAGUUCAUAUCGACGGCGGUGUUUGGCACCUCGAUGUCGGCUCAUCACAUCCUGGGGCUGAAGUAGGUCCCAAGGGUAUGGCUGUUCGCCAUUUAAAGUGGUACGCGAGCUGGGUUUAGAACGUCGUGAGACAGUUCGGUCCCUAUCUGCCGUGGGCGCUGGAGAACUGAGGGGGGCUGCUCCUAGUACGAGAGGACCGGAGUGGACGCAUCACUGGUGUUCGGGUUGUCAUGCCAAUGGCACUGCCCGGUAGCUAAAUGCGGAAGAGAUAAGUGCUGAAAGCAUCUAAGCACGAAACUUGCCCCGAGAU
rnacentral:rRNA from 1 species